AGGGUUUGAUUAUGGCUCAGGAUGAACGCUGGCGGCGUGCCUAACACAUGCAAGUCGAACGAAGCGAUUUGGAAGAAGUUUUCGGAUGGAAUCCAAAUUGACUGAGUGGCGGACGGGUGAGUAACGCGUGGGUAACCUGCCUCACACUGGGGGACAACAGCUGGAAACGGCUGCUAAUACCGCAUAAGCGCACAGCUUCGCAUGAAGCAGUGUGAAAAACUCCGGUGGUGUGAGAUGGACCCGCGUCUGAUUAGCUAGUUGGUAAGGUAACGGCUUACCAAGGCGACGAUCAGUAGCCGACCUGAGAGGGUGACCGGCCACAUUGGGACUGAGACACGGCCCAA
rnacentral:rRNA from 1 species